rnacentral:rRNA from 1 species
GACGAACGCUGGCGGCGUGCUUAACACAUGCAAGUCGAACGGAAAGGCCCUGCUUUUGUGGGGUGCUCGAGUGGCGAACGGGUGAGUAACACGUGAGUAACCUGCCCUUGACUUUGGGAUAACUUCAGGAAACUGGGGCUAAUACCGGAUAGGAGCUCCUGCUGCAUGGUGGGGGUUGGAAAGUUUCGGCGGUUGGGGAUGGUCUCGCGGCUUAUCGGCUUGUUGGUGGGGUAGUGGCGUACCAAGGCUUUGACGGGUAGCCGGCCUGAGAGGGUGACCGGCCACAUGGGGACUGCGAUACGGCCCAGAAUCCUACCGGCGGCAGCGGUGGAAAAUAUUACGCAAUGGGCGGAAGCCUGAUGCGGCGGCGCCGCGUGCGGGAUAACGGCUUUCGGGUUGUAAACCGCUUUCGCCUGUGACGAAGCGUGAGUGACGGUAAUGGGUAAAGAAGCACCGGCUAACUACGUG